GCACUGUGGGUAGGCGGCGGCGGCGGCUGCGGCCGCACUGAGGAGUCCGCCGCGGCGGCGGCGGAGCGAGGCUGCGCGCGCCGAACAUGGCUGAGAAGCAGAAGCACGACGGGCGGGUGAAGAUUGGACACUACGUGCUGGGGGACACGCUGGGUGUCGGCACCUUCGGCAAAGUGAAGAUUGGAGAACAUCAACUGACAGGCCAUAAAGUGGCAGUUAAAAUUUUAAAUAGGCAGAAGAUUCGCAGUUUAGAUGUUGUUGGAAAAAUAAAACGAGAAAUUCAAAAUCUAAAACUCUUCCGUCAUCCUCAUAUUAUCAAACUAUACCAGGUGAUCAGCACUCCGACAGAUUUUUUUAUGGUAAUGGAAUAUGUGUCUGGUGGUGAAUUAUUUGAUUACAUCUGUAAACAUGGACGGGUUGAAGAGAUGGAAGCCAGGCGGCUCUUUCAGCAGAUUCUCUCUGCCGUGGAUUACUGUCACAGGCAUAUGGUUGUUCAUCGAGACCUGAAACCAGAGAAUGUGCUAUUGGAUGCACAGAUGAAUGCCAAGAUAGCAGAUUUUGGAUUAUCUAAUAUGAUGUCAGAUGGUGAGUUUCUGCGAACUAGUUGUGGGUCUCCAAAUUACGCAGCACCUGAAGUCAUCUCAGGCAGAUUGUAUGCAGGUCCUGAGGUCGAUAUCUGGAGCUGCGGUGUUAUUUUGUAUGCUCUUCUUUGUGGCACACUCCCAUUUGAUGAUGAGCAUGUGCCUACAUUGUUUAAGAAGAUCCGAGGGGGUGUUUUUUAUAUCCCAGAAUAUCUCAAUCGUUCUGUUGCCACUCUCCUGAUGCAUAUGCUGCAGGUUGACCCCCUGAAACGAGCAACUAUCAAAGACAUAAGAGAGCAUGAAUGGUUUAAACAAGAUUUGCCCAGUUACUUAUUUCCUGAAGACCCCUCCUAUGAUGCUAACGUCAUUGAUGAUGAGGCUGUGAAAGAAGUGUGUGAAAAAUUUGAGUGUACAGAAUCAGAAGUAAUGAACAGUUUGUAUAGUGGUGACCCUCAAGACCAGCUUGCAGUGGCUUAUCAUCUUGUCAUUGACAAUCGGAGAAUAAUGAACCAAGCCAGUGAGUUCUACCUCGCCUCUAGUCCCCCAACUGGUUCUUUUAUGGAUGAUAGUGCCAUGCAUAUUCCCCCAGGCCUGAAACCUCAUCCAGAAAGGAUGCCACCUCUUAUAGCAGACAGCCCUAAAGCAAGAUGUCCAUUGGAUGCACUGAAUACAACCAAGCCCAAAUCUUUAGCUGUGAAAAAAGCCAAGUGGCAUCUUGGGAUUCGAAGUCAAAGCAAACCAUAUGACAUUAUGGCUGAAGUUUACCGAGCUAUGAAGCAGCUGGAUUUUGAAUGGAAGGUAGUGAAUGCAUACCAUCUACGUGUAAGAAGAAAAAAUCCAGUGACUGGCAAUUAUGUGAAAAUGAGCUUACAGUUGUACCUGGUUGACAAUAGAAGCUAUCUUUUGGACUUUAAAAGCAUUGAUGGUAAGGAAGCCACGCAGGCAUGAACUCUGAGAAGAUAAAACUUGGCACUAGUUGACAAGAUGUUAAAACCAUCUCAAAGACAUGGUGGAUGAGGUGCUGGAGCAGAGGUCUGGUUCCUCAACACCUCAGCGGUCCUGCUCUGCUGCUGGCUUGCACAGACCGCGGUCAAGCUUGGAUUCUGUCACUGCGGAGAGCCACUCACUCUCUGGCUCUCUCUCUGGCUCCUUGACCGGAAGCAUGCUGCCUUCAGUUCCACCUCGCCUGGGCAGUCACACCAUGGAUUUUUUCGAAAUGUGUGCCAGUCUGAUCACUACUUUAGCCCGUUGAUAAUCUUUCCCUAGUUUCUAUCUUCUGUUAUUGCACUGUGAAAAUGAGAUAUAUUCUUUAAAUUAUUGUUUUACCUAUUGAAAUCACAUACUCUGCAGUAGUGGUUGAGAGACGUAACUAUCUCCAGAGGACACUCAAUACCUUUGAAAUGACUGAAAACAAAUCUGACGUUUUAUUUACUGUAGACAUCUGUAAUUCUGUUUUGCCUACGAUAAAAAUCACAUAGGCGGUGUCUUUACUAGGUGAACAUCGACGAAGAUUGUUGUUCAUCUAAAACCGUGGAUUCACUGCAGAUGAUUAAGACAUCGUUACUGGUGAACCAUCAACGAAGAGUCGCUUGGCAUCACCUUCUUGCUUUACUGUGUAGUGUAGGUGAAUCCAGUUUGCUUCCUAAAUUUCGGCAGGCUUUACGCUGUGUUUAUGCCCAAGAAGUUUAAAAAAAAAAAAAAAACCGCAAUAUUGGUAAGGUAGUAUUUAAAUGUUGAAAUCUUAAAUGUCAGCCUCCAAAAUUUCAAAAACCAAGUUCUUGUAGAAGUUUUCGCAAAUGUUGCCCAGUGUUCAGCAGAAGGGCUGUGGUCCCGAAACAGGUAACCAUGAUUUCUAAGUUCUUAAAAACAGCUGUAACUAGAGGUUUUAUCUUGAGAUGUCCCUGAAUAAUGUACUAAAGAUUUGCCUUUAAAGUUCUUCUCAGUACUGGAACAUCUGGAAUUGCAGCAACUUUUGUCUUUUUCAUAAACUUAUUUUACGACAUGCCUUCAAAAUCUAUCUUUCUCAAAUAUUUUUUAGCUCUAUUUGUUUUUAUACUUCACCAAGCAUGAUUUGACAGUUAAAUGAAACAAAGCAAAAUGUCGGUAGUCCCUGUAAAGAGAACUCUUACCUUUGAUCUUUAACUGUGUGUAAGGAGUGUGUGUGCCCCGCUGAAUCCCGUGAUGCUGGUUUUUCAUCUGAAUUUGGUUGUUGUGGUCCCUCACCUUCCUGGUUGCCUUUGUGUUUAAUGUUUCAUCUUUAGUGGCCGACUGACUUAGCUUUAAAAUCUUUUCUGGUUCUCUUUCUUUGUUCUGUAUCUUGGUUGCUAGCCAUCCAGUUUGAAAACACUGUUCUGGCCCUAAGGGCUUUUGUGUAUUUCCAAAGCUCGGUAGGCUGUGACCUGCACUGUUGAACUUGUUAGGGCAGCGAAACCUUAAACAUUCAAAGAAUUUUCUCUUGAAUAAAUAUAUGUGUUGUUUACACAUAUACAUAUAUGUAUUCGCACAUCAGUGCUUUUAAAGGAAAACCAAACUUUUGCUUUUGCUUUGUGCAGGGUUUUUGGUUUUUUAAGGCUUUAAAAAAUAACCCUACAUACAGCAGGGUAGGUAACAGCCCAUUGAUUAUAUUUUGUUUUAAUAAAAAUAUUUAAUUUUAAAAUCAUGUAUAAUUUAUCUAAUUGUAUUUAUUCUUUUUUUUUUUGUUUAAAAUGCUGUAAUUAACAAUAUCAUUCACCUGACUCACCCUAGAAAAGAUUAAGCUCUUGAAAACAAAAAGUGACAUUGCCUUGACUGGUUUCUCUUUGCCAAAAAUAAUGUGUUUUCUACCAAGAAGCAAAUGAGAAUGUUAGACCAAGUUUCUCCUGUAAAACAAAUAUGGCUGUUUUUAAAUGAGUAUUGAGUCAGGGGUUUGCAUUGUGUCACAUCAUAUUUUUUGAAGAACUUUUAAAAAAUGAUACAACUUUUAUGUCCGACUUCUUAAUAGCAAAGUACAAGGAAUCCUUGUUUGCCAGUUUGGGAAAGAGGGUGGAGUUGUAGUUAAUAUGUUUUAAGUCUAAACCUUUGAAAGAUUGCCAUCUAGUGGCAUCAAAGGAUACUUUUUUGUGAUUAUUUUUAUAGGGAUAAGCAGUUCUGCUGCGUUAGUUUUGAUGUGCAUAUAGAUACGGCAUAAUUUUGGCCUCAACAAGUGUGUAAAUACCUUUUGGGAAAAACAGGGCCACUUCAUAAUAUUUGCCUAUGAAUGAGAUGACCUUCAAAAUAAGGAAUUACUCUGAAUCCUUAUUCUCAGUGAUAAAAUCCCUAACAAUUUUGAAGGCAGAGAAAUAGCAAGAAGGAAUCCAGUGGCAUUUUAGCUUCUGUAAUGAAUCAGAUAUUAGAAACUUAUAUCAAAAUUUCUUUAUAUGGAUGAUUAUGUUUUUUAAGAGUUAAAAAAUUAUUUACUAUUUUCUCAUUUGUGCCAGUAUUUAUAAAUAUCUAUAUUUUGAUAGUUAUCUCUUGAAUUUUAGGAGAACCAAGGCUCAUAGUUUGGUUCUUGUGUGCUUACGUUUUUAAAGCACAGUUAUUUUGUGAAUAUAGAUGGUUUAGUACAUUGGUUUUUAGAGAGAAGAUUAUAGGAGGCUCAGCCCACCAUAAGGGGGCUAGAGCAUUUUCCUAGGAGGUUCUUUGCUGCUCGUGGGCAGAGAGAGGAAGAGAAUCAGCUGCUAAGUUCUCGCGUUUUAGUCUUGUAAACUGGUUAGUUGUGGACGUGGUAUGGAUGUGGUAUGUAUGUGGUAGACCUGGGAUAGGAACAAUUUCUCCUGUUAAGAUUCUGGAGGAGAGCUGCUAUUAUUAGGCUGUGAAGUCUUAGCUAUACUGUGGAAAUGGAAUCUGUAAUGGUUCUAGAAUAGCAUUUUCCAAACUAUUCUUUGAGAUGCUCUGCAGAAGAGAAAUUUAAUUGAGCGAGUUGGGAAAAUGAUACUUUCCCACUUGAGGAUGACCAAGGAUGCGAACAUUAAAGACUUUUGCCAGUCCUUUUGUGAAAAAAAAAAAAAUUAACUUUGUUUAAUCUUGCUUUGCCCACAUUAAUUUAAUCAUCAUUUUAAACUUACUAUUCCCUGGGAGAAAGCAUAUUUGGAAAAGUACUAUUUUAGGAAAAUUAUUGUAUCAGGUUGCCAUAAUUAGGGUAAUUAAGUAUAAAAUUAAAGUUUAUUUUCUCUUAUCUCUUGUUGGAAAGAGUCUGGUUCAAAACCAGAAUCAUUUCAUUUAAACCUGUAGAUGUAUUUAUUCAUCUUAAGCAAAUGCUGGUCUGCUAGAAUUUUGUAUGUCUGCAACUUGUUUCAUAGCAUCUUCAUUUUCUUAAUCAGGUUGUGGUAUUUUGGGGGAUCAAAAUUCUUUUUUGCGUUGAAUGGAUAACUGAAAAACCUUAAAAUUACUUUUAACAUUGUCUAAGAGACUACUGACUAAUGCUUAUGGCUCUAUGGAUAAUGAGUCAUUAUCACUGAUUCUUUCAAAAAGUGUAGUCAGUGAACAUUUUCUAUAUAUUUUUAUAUAGGACACCAUAUUUCUGUCUAAUUCCUGUUAUUCUUCAAAGUAGGAACAAACAGCUUCCCAAAUUAACUAUCUGGAAGGGAGAUAGGCAGGCUCUUACAAGUCGGGUUUUGUUUUGAUCAACAAACUUUUGAGACAGUUUUUGUAACCUAGUGUUUUCAUUCCUUGAUACUGUCCAGCUAUGAAGAGAAUCCAUAAGCCUAAAUUAUUCAGGAAUAGAAGUAAUCUGUGUCAGGGAAUUGGCUGACUCUCUACAAAUAGGUUUUCCGUGAUAGUUAUAUAAUACUGGGCUUGCUUUCUCUUAUUCCCUAGCCAGUUUCUCCUCAGGGAAUACAAAUUGAUUUUUAUAUUAGACGAGACACAAUUGAGAAAAUAAUCAUAGAUAACUGUUGCAGAUUUUUUUGACUAUUCGGAUUUACCUGUAAAUAGACAGUAUACUAAGUUAAUAUUAGCAAUGCACCUUCCAUUUUUGAACUUAAGAUCUUGGAAUGUGCCUGCCAUAGACACUGCAUCCUUGUCUAGUCACUGGUUAAUAAGUUAAAUCCUGUUACUGGCUGUGAAAUCUCAAUAUCUCACUGCUAGACAUGUUCACAGUUAGAUCUCUUUAUUUGUUUGUAAAGACUUCUGCCUUUUCGUUCUGGCAUUUCAUUACCUGUUUUUUUUCUAUCACUCUGUGACUUUUUAAGUAAGGAAUGUAAUUUAUUUUAAUAAUAGUUAUCAAAGACGCUCUAAUAUUCUGGGUGAGGGGUAUGUGCAAUCUGUUGGUCAGUCACAUCCUAUGUUGGGCCACAUUUUUAUAACCUCUCGAGUGGGAGGGAUAGAUUAAAAAACCUCUGAAUUAUCUUUGAGCUUUAAAGUUCUGUCCUCUCUGCCUUUUCUUACAGUUUGUGUUAAUGUUCACUUUUUAUAUAUUUAGAGAUUUUAUACUAGUGUGAAUGGUCUCUAUUUGGUGAGGUGAAGGUAUAUACUUGAAUAUUUUUCUAAACAGAGCUGCUCUCCCCCCCCCCCCCGCAAAAUCAUCCAGAAAACCAAACAUCGUGUGCACUUGCCAUAAAACAAAACAUGACUAAUUUGCUUGGAUGGAGAUGUUCCGCCCACCUUAACAGUGAUCUUUAGAUGCAGAGACAGCUCCGUAUCUGUUAACUUAAUGCCCUACAGUAACCUCGUGAACCAGUUCCAGAUGAGGAAGCAGGAGCAAAAGCUCUUCACAAGGCUUUCAUGCCGCACAAGGGUUCAGUGACGGCCAUGCUCUUUAUAUGUCCCCUUCUCCUGGGGGAGAACAGUCCGUCGCUGAAAUAGCUGAGUAGUUGAGUAAUAAAAAUAAACACAGAUGUAUUGAUUUCAAGUCUUAGGGUGACAUAAAGUGGUCUUAACUGAAUAUUUUUUGUUUAAUUAUUUGAACCAGUUGAUUGUACUAACUAGAUACAAAGUUAUCUUAAGUAUUCAUGAUUAGCAUAUUGAUUUUUCCUAAGUACUUCUAAGUUAUUGAGGGUAAAAAAAAUGCUGAAGAAAACUUUUAGGACAUGAUCCUUCCUUUAAUUUUAUUUGUAUGAUUCUUACAACACAGUAUAUUUUAGAAAGAGAAAAACUAGCCCCAACUCCUAUCUUAAAUUAUCAGUGGCUUUUGACUAUUAAUCUGAAUUAGGCUUAUCUAAAUGUUAUAUAUAUAUUGAUAAUUUUUCACUGUAUAAAGUGCAUAUUAGAUGAUAAGACACUGUUCUCAUAGAGUAUAUUUCUAUUGACAAACUACCUAAUUAUUAUUGGCUUGAUACGGAUUCUUCAAACCUUAUAAAAAUUUGAACUGUCAUUUGUAUUUGAGCUUUAAAAAUUAUAUCUUAUUUAAGCAAAUUGCUGGCAUUGUUACUAGCCUUUUCCAUAUAUAAUUAUGAUGCAUUUGAUGCCACCGACAUAAAAGAAGAGGUCCUACAGCCUAGACUAGAUUGAGUUUUAAUUAAACCUUUUCAGCCAUAGCCUGAUAAGAAUCAGGCUGGGUCUAGACGUUAUCAGACUGUGGGCCUGUAUUACCUUUGUGAGCCAAUGUUAAUGUUUACUGCCAACCUCGCCUAGCAAUGCCAGUUUGCAGCCAUGAUUGUGUAGACGACUCUCAGUAACUACUGUUUAUAUCUAAAGAGGUUCCGAUGUUAUGAAAGUAGCUCGUGAUUAUUUGGACAAGCAGGGUAGGUAAAUUUAAGUUACAUUUUAAAAAAGUGCAAUUAAGGAAAUCCUAGAGUAGAGUGCUCUUACCAGGAAAAAAGUUAAGUAUUGGUAGAAUAUCCUAGCAUGAGAACUCUUUUGAACAUGACACGGAAUUUUGACAGGGUUUAUACAGUGUGAAUUUUUUUAUUCGAGGUUUGUUACUUUGUGUUGAUUUAAAAUUUCAAGGAAGGAAUAGGAACAUUCUAGCCAAGGAGAACUGCAUAGUCAUUUUUGCUGCUAAUUUAAGCAUGCAUUUUUUCACAGCUAAAAGUCCUUUUUAAGUUUAGUUACAACGAGAGGCCAUUUUUUCUAGAGAGGUAACAUUUUCCUAAGAUGGAAAAGAGGACAGAUCCACUAAAAACAAACAAACAAACAAAAACCCUUAAUUAAGUGUGCCUUCUUUCUUAAAUUAUAGGAAUAAUAAUUAGUCAAAAGCUUGUUUGAAUUGUUUUUUUUUCUUUUUUUCCUAAUUCUUCUCAUUUUUCCUUCAGUCUGUCCUCCACAGUUGUACGGUUUGCUUUUGCCUGUUUGUUUUCAGGUUCUUUUGGCCAGACCUCACUAUCACUGUCAGAAAUUGUUCACUGGAUGUAUUUUUCUAUUUCUUUUAUGUUGCUUCACCUUUUAAGUUACCUUGGUAAAAGUUUGGCUGCCUUCUCAUGUUUUUAAAAUGAAUGCAAUGAAUAGCAGUCUUUUUAUUUCAACCUUUUAAACACUUUGUAAAGGAAAGAAGUAAUGCAAAGAACAAAAUCCCAUUCGGAAACUGAUUGUCAGUUUGGCCGCUGUGGCAGCAGCAAGUCACAUAACCUCAUUUAGUUUCUUCAUCUACAAAAUGUGGAGAAUAACCUACCUCACAGAUGUGUGUGGGAAACUGUUUAAAGGCCCUUGUUUAAAUACAAGAUUUAUCAUAUUUAAUGUAAAUCCCUUCCUUUUUUUAUAGAUAUCUUUGCUACUGAUAGGAUGAGUAUCUUGAUUUUAGGUAAGUCAUACGUGCUAAGAAUGUAGCAGUAAAAAUGUUUUAAGAUGACAACUUCACAAAUUAUGGUGUUCUCAUUUUUAAGUGACUUUUAAAAUUUCUUGCAAAUAUCAAAUAUCCAAAUAUCACAUAUUCACAAUUUCUUAAAAUGUUGGCUGGAGCUGCCUUAAUAUACCAAAAUACGGCUUUCCCUCAAAACUGUUCACAAAUAUCUAUGGUUGUACGAUGUUUUGAAUGUUUAAUGUAAAAUUGUUGUAGAACUAUGAACUCUACACAUAGUAAUCUUGUUUUAGGAAGAAUGCUUGUGUUCAGUAUCAUGUAUGCUUAAGUAUCAUACAGUGACUUUUGAGUGCAGCAAACAAAACUGAAAGUUGACAGCCAUUUGGUUGUGUCCAUGACAAUCAUAAGAAAAUAUAAGAUUGGAUAUUAAUCAAAAAAUUUUCAAGAACAUUUUGCAUUCAUUUUUUCUUAGCCCAUCUUUGAAGACAAAAUCCCAGAGACUGAUAGAUUUACCCAUUGAAGCACUUGAUUACAUAUCUGUUAAAGUAGUUUUUUUAAACCAUUGAAAUUGGGAUCGUUUUUUAUAAUUCAUUUCAGGAGAGGAGAAAAAAGACCAGACUCCUAGUGCUUUUGUGUUUUAAUAACUAAAGAUUCAAGUUUCAGUUUUGUUUGUUGUGUAUUUUUUUGUGAGUGUUAAAUGAUCAAUGGGAAGGAUUUAUUUUCCAGUAUCUGUGUGGUAAAGAUGUCUGCUGGAAUUACACAGCAUUUCAUAGGUACAGGUUCUCCCUAGUUAAUAUUUGCACUGUACAGACUCAUAGGUAACAAACACAAAAGAGAAAAGCACUGAUUGCUUAUAAGCUUUUUUUCACAAAAUCAAAUUAAAGUCUCUGGUUAA